AUUGAACGCUGGCGGCAUGCCUAACACAUGCAAGUCGAACGGCAGCACGGUCUAGUUUACUAGAUGGGUGGCGAGUGGCGAACGGGUGAGUAACGCGUAGGAAUAUACCCCUGAAGGGUGGGACAACUUGGGGGAAACUCAAGCUAAUACCGCAUAAUCUCUAAGGAGGAAAGCUGGGGACCCGCGAGGGCCUGGCGCUUUAGGAGUAGCCUGCGUCCGAUUAGCUAGUUGUGGGGUAAAGCCUACCAAGGCGAUGAUCGGGUAGCUGGUCUAAGAGGAUGGUCAGCCACACUGGGACUGAGACACGGCCCAGACUCCUACGGGAGGGCAGCAGUGGGGAAUAUUGGACAAUGGGGGGAACCCUGAUCCUGCAAUGCCGCGUGUGUGAAGAAGGCCUGAGGGUUGUAAAGCACUUUCAGUGGGGAGAGGGUAAUCAGGUUAAGAGCUGGAUUAUUGGGACGUUACCCACAGAAGAAGC
rnacentral:rRNA from 1 species